rnacentral:rRNA from 1 species
CACGAGGUAGCAAUACUUUGGUGGCGACCGGCGCACGGGUGAGUAACGCGUAUGCAACCUACCCUGUACUGGGGGAUAGCCCGGAGAAAUUCGGAUUAAUACCCCAUAAUGAUAUUUAGAGGCAUCUUUGAAUAUUUAAAGUUUCGACGGUACGGGAUGGGCAUGCGUGACAUUAGCUAGUUGGUAGGGUAACGGCCUACCAAGGCUGCGAUGUCUAGGGGUCCUGAGAGGGUGAUCCCCCACACUGGUACUGAGACACGGACCAGACUCCUACGGGAGGCAGCAGUGAGGAAUAUUGGUCAAUGGGCGCAAGCCUGAACCAGCCAUCCCGCGUGAAGGAAGAAGGCGCUAUGCG